AUUGAACGCUGGCGGCAGGCUUAACACAUGCAAGUCGAGCGGUAACAGGGGGAGCUUGCUCCCUGCUGACGAGCGGCGGACGGGUGAGUAAUGCAUAGGAAUCUGCCCGGUAGUUGGGGAUAGCCCGGGGAAACCCGGAUUAAUACCGAAUACGCCCUACGGGGGAAAGCAGGGGAUCUUCGGACCUUGCGCUAUCGGAUGAGCCUAUGUCGGAUUAGCUGGUUGGUGGGGUAACGGCCUACCAAGGCGACGAUCCGUAGCUGGUCUGAGAGGAUGAUCAGCCACAUCGGGACUGAGACACGGCCCGAACUCCUACGGGAGGCAGCAGUGGGGAAUAUUGGACAAUGGGGGCAACCCUGAUCCAGCCAUGCCGCGUGUGUGAAGAAGGCUUUCGGGUUGUAAAGCACUUUCAGUGAGAAGGAAAACCUGAUGGCUAAUACCCAUGAGGCUUGACGUUACUCACAGAAGAAGCACCGGCUAACUCCGUGCCAGCAGCCGCGGUAAUACGGAGGGUGCGAGCGUUAAUCGGAAUUACUGGGCGUAAAGCGCGCGUAGGUGGUUUGGUAAGCGAGAUGUGAAAGCCCCGGGCUUAACCUGGGAACGGCAUUUCGAACUGUCAGACUAGAGU
rnacentral:rRNA from 1 species